UGACACCUACGGGGGGCAGCAGUAGGGAAUCUUCCACAAUGGACGAAAGUCUGAUGGAGCAACGCCGCGUGAGUGAAGAAGGGUUUCGGCUCGUAAAGCUCUGUUGGUAGUGAAGAAAGAUAGAGGUAGUAACUGGCCUUUAUUUUACGGUAAUUACUUAGAAAGUCACGGCUAACUACGUGCCAGCAGCCGCGGUAAUACGUAGGUGGCAAGCGUUAUCCGGAUUUAUUGG
rnacentral:rRNA from 1 species